UACGUAGGGGGCGAGCGUUGUCCGGAAUUAUUGGGCGUAAAGCGCUCGUAGGUGGUUUGUCGCGUUGUUCGUGAAAUGCCACAGCUUAACUGUGGGCGUGCGGGCGAUACGGGCAGACUGGAGUACUGCAGGGGAGACUGGAAUUCCUGGUGUAGCGGUGGAAUGCGCAGAUAUCAGGAGGAACACCAGUGGCGAAGGCGGGUCUCUGGGCAGUAACUGACGCUGAGGAGCGAAAGCGUGGGGAGCGAACAGG
rnacentral:rRNA from 1 species